GAAAUGCGAUAAGUAAUGUGAAUUGCAGAAUUCAGUGAAUCAUCGAAUCUUUGAACGCACCUUGCACCCAUUGGUAUUCCAAAGGGUAUGCUCGUUUGAGUGUCAUUGUACUCUCACACUCCAAUUUUGGAGAAGUGGACUUGGGUGUUGCUGCUUUGCAGUGGCUCAUCUUAAAUACGCUAGUGCAACUCAUAGUUGGAUAUAGUACAGCGUGAUAAGUAUCUUCGCUGGCGCCUCAUGAAGAGGGUAUCCGAUUGGGAGCUCUGUGCUUCUAACAGUCCUGUCUGGGACAAUCUCUGACAACUUGGCCUCAAAUCGAGUAGGACUACCCGCUGAACUUAA
rnacentral:misc_RNA from 1 species